AGGACAAGAGGCAACAGGCAGAAAUUGAUGCACGGAAAGUUCCACUCAAGCAUAAGAACUUCUUUGUUGUGCAGGUGACCAAGCAGUGGAACAGGUUGCAGAGUCUCCCUCACAGGAGGUACUCAAAAACUGUCUAGGUGCAAUCCAGUGCCAUGUGAUCUAGGAUAACCUUACUUUAGCAGGGGGUUGGACCAGAAUACCUGCUGCUGUAGUCUCUUCCAACCCAUUCUGUGACUUUUUCCCUCAGCCUUCUUUUCAGAAUCCUAUGCAGCUCCUUCCUGGGAACACCAGAACUACUUUGGCAGCCCAUGAAGCACCGACCUACAUCUCCCACAGCACCUGGACUUCAGACUGCUUUGCAACACUUAGAACAUGGUCAUCAAACUCUUCCUCUGUUUAAACUGGAAGUCUCAGAAUAAGAAUCUCAGGAAACUGUCAUUUCUGAUUCCUUGGGCUACACUGAUGCUGAGUUACCACAAAAUUUGAAUGCCAUCCUUGGUCAGUUGAGAGAACUGAGCAUGAAGACUCCCCCGUGUGACAGCUGCUUCUUGUGAAGCCAAGCCAGUGAAGGCACAACCUGCAUUCUGAAUUAAGUGACCAGAGAUUUAGGACAAAAAAGGGAAGAGAAGCAACUUCCACUUCAGAAAGCUCCUAAGACAAUGAGACCUGUCUAGUGGAUGA